CCCGUACCCAUACAAAUACAUCUUUUACUCCAGGACUUGAACGCUAAAAACGAGCAUGUGUAUUCGACAAGAACUACGUGCUAUUAGUUUUCUUAAUAGUUGCUACAGGAUAUUAUUAAAUGAUUGUAGAACUGGAUACCAAUCAAAUAAAAAUAAAGAAACUAAUUCGAAAAUCAUAUUACAUGGCUUCCCAACUAAUAUAGAUAAGAUUAAUAAAUGGAAAAUAGCAAUUCCAAAAACUUAGGCACAAGGCAUUAUACUCGUAUCUGUUAGAUCGGAAUUCAUUAAUUAAAUUAAACAGUAAAACAGUAUAUAAUUAUUUUCUCAAUUUUGUAUUUCUUUCAGAUGGCAAAUCAAUCAAUAUAAAAAAUGCAGUA
rnacentral:lncRNA from 1 species